GGUAAGGUAGCUCAGUUGGUUAGAGCGCUGGUCUCAUAAGCCGGAGGUCGAGAGUUCGAGUCUCUCUCUUACUACCA
rnacentral:tRNA from 1 species